AAGCUACUCCCUCCGUUUCAAAUUACUCGUCGCAGAAAUGGAUGUAUCUAGAACUAAAAUACAUAUAGAUACAUCCAUUUCUGCGACGAGUAAUUCGGAAUGGAGGGAGUAGUAG
rnacentral:pre_miRNA from 1 species